GCGGUAAUUCAGCUCCAAUAGCGUAUAUGUAAAUUGCUGCGGUUGAAACGCUCGUAGUUGGACUUCUGGCGUCGGAAUUCGGUUCAUUUCACAUGAUACUGGAUCCCGUCGUCGUUUUUGUCGACGGGUUUCGUUGGGCUUAGUUGUCUGGCGAUCUUCUGUCGGCGAUGUUACUUUGAGGAAAUCAGAGUGCUCAAAGCAAGCGUUCGCUCGUGACUUCACUAGCAUGGAAUAACACAGAUGGGCUCUGUCUCGCAACGUUGGUCUGCGUCAAUUGAGCAACGAUCGAUAGAGACGGUCGGGGGCAUUCGUAUUGCGCAGUUAGAGGUGAAAUUCUCCGAUCUGCGUAAGACGCACUAGUGCGAAAGCAAUUGCCAAGGACGUUCUCUUAUGAUCAAGAGCGAAAGUCGGGGGAUCAAAGAUGAUUAGAUACCGUCGUAGUCCCGACCAUAAAUGAUGCCGRCUGAGCGUUGGCAACUCGGCUUCUGCCGGAUGUCAGCGCUCUUGAGAGAAAUUAAAGUCUUUGGGCUCCGGGGGUAGUAUGGUCGCAAGUCUGAAACUUGAAGGAAUUGACGGAAGGGCACCACAAGGCGUGGAUGUUGCGGCUUAAUUUGACUCAACACGGGAAAGCUUACUAGGUUUGGACACUUGAAUGAGGGACAUAUUGAAGCUCUUACCUUAUCUUGUGGAUGGUGGUGCAUGGUCGUUCUCAGCCCGUGGGUUGACCUGUCAGGUUUACUCCGGUAACGCGCGAGACCUCGGUUUGCUAAAUAGACGUGGCUGUCUCGGCACCCACGUUCUUCUUAGAGAGAGACUCGAUGAGAAUCGAGGGAAGUCGAGGCAAUAACAGAUCUGUGAUGCCCUUAGUUAUCCUAGGUCGCACGCGCCAUACAAUGUGGCGCACAACGAGUUUCCUAGGCCGAUAGGAUCUCAGCUAGGAGUCACUGGGCAAUCUGAGAGAGCGCUACGUGACUGGGCUAGACUUUUGUAAUUGUUGGUCUUGAACGAGGAAUGCCUAGUAAUCGCAGGUCAUUAUCCUGCGAUGAUUAUGUCCCUGCCCUUUGUACACACCGCCCGUCGCUCCUGCCGUGGCUCGUGCCGGUGAAGAGGGGGAGGCAGCGUCAACGGAGUAACAUCUGAUUGUACGUGGAACCCCUCUGAACCUUCGCGAGUAGAGGAAGGAGAAGUCGUAACAAGGUUUUCGUAGGUGAACCUGCGAAAGGAUCAUUAUCGGCA
rnacentral:rRNA from 1 species